UAACACUGUGGGAUUUAGUCCCCAAGGAGCUCCCAUUGAGACACCAUUUAAAGGCCCUUCUGGGCUUACAUCACCUUUUUGCACUGGCCCAUCUAAUUCUGGUAACAGUCAGGCACUCUGCUGCGACAGCAUGCACAAGUCUAUGAAACAGCCCUGUAUCUGCAGCUGUACUUACCAAAUACUGGGGUAUGUUGAGGGCCACACAAGGCGUCAGUGAAAAACACAGGAAAGAACAGCAAGGGUUUCCCUGAUUGACUUUUGCUCUACAGGAAAUGGACAAGUACCUUUCGAUCCUUGCUGCAUCAUUCUCCUACAUCACAGUACCGGCUCCAAGUCAUACUUUGUAAGAUGUUGAAACAGGAAGGGAGGAAUACCAACAGCCUCACCCACUGCAUGUAUUUACAGUGAGAAAAUUCCUUACCUCCCAAUCGGUGUAGCUCCACAGUACCUAUAUGGGAUCCACAACAGCUAAGCAUUUUAUGAUCUUUUUGGACCCAGAGAUACUCUCUAUAUGCAAAAUAAUUGUUUUAUUCUUGAAGCCUAAUGAGGUGUAGUCUCUCUGUAUGUCUAGGACCACAGCAGAGAAAUCCAGAUACUGAGGCUCCCCCUUCCAGGAAUAUUCAUGUAUGUCCAGGCCAUGAUUUAACUUGGAGACUUAAUAUAACAAAAUCUCGAGGUCCACCAAGAGGUGGCAAAACACCUGAAGGUGGCCAGCAAACGUAAGUCAUCCUGUGAACAUCCCAAGUGAGUGACUCCUCAGGCACACAUGAUGGCUUUCUGGCUUUCCAGCAGCUAGAUUCUAGCUGAGAUGAGAGAGGAAAUGUUACGUUGAUGGUUAUAUUUCAGGUGCUUGUCGCACCCCACCUGUGUCCAUUAGAGCAGAAUUAAAUCAACAAGAUUAGAUAUAUUCUCACCAAAGGCGGUUCUGCAGCCUGAUUCAAGCACAUGAAUACUCUGUGUCCUGCUUCAAGUACUGUUCCUGCUCCAAGGAUGGAUGCAAAUCCCUCCUAAAGGCAGUUCAGAGCCACUGUGCAGGCACUUAGAUCUGCCGUUGCAAGCUACAUGUCAUCUUUGAAGGCUGGGAAAUUGAAGAGUGCCAGCACAGUGAUACCCAGCCAUGAAGCUGGUGCUUGGCACAUCUCAUCCCUUGCAACUACAGGAGAAAAGCAGGGGUAAAAUUUCAAACUGCAUUUUACAGUGGUAAGAGGCCACUCUCCUAUCUAAGUGCAGUGUAAGCGUCACCUUCUCACACCCAGGGCUCAUGCUGCGGCUGACUAUACUCAAGAAGAGGGAGAAAAUACCGAAUCAGAAAUUCAGUGCACUUGGAGACCUCAUUUUAUUGCUCUUAAACAUUUGCACACAUUCUUCUUAUGCUAAGCAGCUUAAACACAAUCAAACCUAGGUGCAAAUUACCAAGACAAAUACUGUUGUUCCUAUCUGCUCUCUUUGAACAUAAAAGAAAAACCUCAUAGUGCAAAAAUAAAAUCUUGUGAUAAAAUGACUAAUACAUGACUAAAGCUCUUUUCCAUUGUGCAGGCAUAGCUCUGGGGAUCAUUUGUUUUUCA